rnacentral:lncRNA from 1 species
UUCUGCCCUGGCCGAGAAAGAAAUUCCUGCCUUGAGUUGGAAGUUAUAUUAACCUUGUUUUAGAAGACAACGUACAAGGACAACUUUAUAAGGCAACAGGAUUAAAGAUGACCAAAUACUGGGCUCCAGAAAUUUAAAACAACCAGGUGGCGAUUUCUACAUGUCAUCCAUGUAAUUAUGCCUGAACCUGAUCAGCCAAUAAACAGAAUGGCCUGUUUUCCAACCUUUCCUAUUUAAAGAGUUUAUUAUGCUUAAAAUUGACCAAG